rnacentral:rRNA from 1 species
GACGAACGCUGGCGGUGUGCUUCACACAUGCAAGUCGAACGAGGUAGCAAUACCUAGUGGCGGACGGGUGAGUAACGCGUGGGAAUCUGCCUUUAGAUGGGGGAUAACGGGUCGAAAGACUCGCUAAUACCGCAUAUGACGAAAGUUGAAAGGAGUAAUCCGUCUAAAGAUGAGCCCGCGUCCGAUUAGCUAGUUGGUAGAGUAAAAGCCUACCAAGGCGACGAUCGGUAGCUGGUCUGAGAGGAUGAUCAGCCACAAUGGGACUAGAGACACGGCCCAUACUCCUACGGGAGGCAGCA